AGGCCUAACACAUGCAAGUCGAACGGUAGCACAGAGAGCUUGCUCUCGGGUGACGAGUGGCGGACGGGUGAGUAAUGUCUGGGAAACUGCCUGAUGGAGGGGGAUAACUACUGGAAACGGUAGCUAAUACCGCAUAACGUCGCAAGACCAAAGAGGGGGACCUUCGGGCCUCUUGCCAUCAGAUGUGCCCAGAUGGGAUUAGCUAGUAGGUGGGGUAACGGCUCACCUAGGCGACGAUCCCUAGCUGGUCUGAGAGGAUGACCAGCCACACUGGAACUGAGACACGGUCCAGACUCCUACGGGAGGCAGCAGUGGGGAAUAUUGCACAAUGGGCGCAAGCCUGAUGCAGCCAUGUCGCGUGUAUGAAGAAGGCCUUCGGGUUGUAAAGUACUUUCAGCGGGGAGGAAGGUGUUGCGGUUAAUAACCGCAGCAAUUGACGUUACCCGCAGAAGAAGCACCGGCUAACUCCGUGCCAGCAGCCGCGGUAAUACGGAGGGUGCAAGCGUUAAUCGGAAUUACUGGGCGUAAAGCGCACGCAGGCGGUCUGUCAAGUCGGAUGUGAAAUCCCCGGGCUCAACCUGGGAACUGCAUUCGAAACUGGCAGGCUAGAGUCUUGUAGAGGGGGGUAGAAUUCCAGGUGUAGCGGUGAAAUGCGUAGAGAUCUGGAGGAAUACCGGUGGCGAAGGCGGC
rnacentral:rRNA from 1 species